rnacentral:rRNA from 1 species
AGGGUUCGAUUCUGGCUCAGGAUGAACGCUGGCGGCGUGCUUAACACAUGCAAGUCGAACGGGAUCCAUCAAGCUUGCUUGGUGGUGAGAGUGGCGAACGGGUGAGUAAUGCGUGACCGACCUGCCCCAUACACCGGAAUAGCUCCUGGAAACGGGUGGUAAUGCCGGAUGCUCCAGUUGAUCGCAUGGUCUUCUGGGAAAGCUUUCGCGGUAUGGGAUGGGGUCGCGUCCUAUCAGCUUGACGGCGGGGUAACGGCCCACCGUGGCUUCGACGGGUAGCCGGCCUGAGAGGGCGACCGGCCACAUUGGGACUGAGAUACGGCCCAGACUCCUACGGGAGGCAGCAGUGGGGAAUAUUGCACAAUGGGCGCAAGCCUGAUGCAGCGACGCCGCGUGAGGGAUGGAGGCCUUCGGGUUGUAAACCUCUUUUAUCGGGGAGCAAGCGAGAGUGAGUUUACCCGUUGAAUAAGCACCGGCUAACUACGUGCCAGCAGCCGCGGUAAUACGUAGGGUGCAAGCGUUAUCCGGAAUUAUUGGGCGUAAAGGGCUCGUAGGCGGUUCGUCGCGUCCGGUGUGAAAGUCCAUCGCUUAACGGUGGAUCCGCGCCGGGUACGGGCGGGCUUGAGUGCGGUAGGGGAGACUGGAAUUCCCGGUGUAACGGUGGAAUGUGUAGAUACGUAGGAUAUAUGGAGGAACACCAAUGGCGAAGGCGGCUCUCUGGCCUGUUACUGACGCUGAGGAGCGAAAGCGUGGGGAGCGAACAGGAUUAGAUACCCUGGUAGAG